CCAUCAUAAAAUCAAUAUGCCCUGCAGAGGCUGCUACAUGCAAAGGAGUAUGGAAAAAAGCCCCCAUCAUCCUCUCAUCCAUAGCAAGGUGCGGAAAUUUGCACAAUAUAGCAAUGGAGUGAAGAAAAAAGGCUUUAGCAGACGAUUUGAUUAUGUUAAGGGUAUAAUGAAGUGUUUGAUUAUUUUUUCCAGAUGAAUUGUUUGACAUUUUAUAGCACUUAAUUAUUAUUUUGGAUUUAUAUGUGAAUGUCACCUAUUAGAAAGAAA